UUCACAUGAGGGCCAGCAGACAACAAACCGAUUUUCAGAGGGAUGACUUCUUCUUUACUUCCAGUGUUAGCUGAAAAACAAACAAACAUGAAAGCAUUGUUACUUGAUAGGAAAUCUACAUGGCUGAAUUCUGGAACGACACUGCAUACCUCGUUGCCUGCUGGUUGAGGAUUUGGUGUCCCGGCCUCUUCUCCGUGGCCAGAGCAAACAUCGGAACGGCCAGAAAAGCUGGUUCCCUCCAUCCCCGGUAUUAUCUGAAAGGCAAUAAUGAGCGUUUAACAAUUUGGCAGCGUAUCUAAGGGCCCGGCCGUUCCAUGAACGCUCCCUUUGUUCCUGGGACUUUGCAGGCUGGGAAGGAAAAUGUGAAUCAUGUGGAUUGAGUGGACUCCACUAACUCAAAUCACUGCAGUGUUUGCCAGAAAUGAGUGCAGUGUUAAUUAGUGAAGUUACCAUGAUCGUAUCGUAAGUGUAUAU
ensembl:lncRNA